rnacentral:rRNA from 1 species
AAUACAUGCAAGUCGAACGCUUCUUUUCCACCGGAGCUUGCUCCACCGGAAAAAGAGGAGUGGCGAACGGGUGAGUAACACGUGGGUAACCUGCCCAUCAGAAGGGGAUAACACUUGGAAACAGGUGCUAAUACCGUAUAACAAUCGAAACCGCAUGGUUUUGAUUUGAAAGGCGCUUUCGGGUGCCGCUGAUGGAUGGACCCGCGGUGCAUUAGCUAGUUGGUGAGGUAACGGCUCACCAAGGCCACGAUGCAUAGCCGACCUGAGAGGGUGAUCGGCCACAUUGGGACUGAGACACGGCCCAAACUCCUACGGGAGGCAGCAGUAGGGAAUCUUCGGCAAUGGACGAAAGUCUGACCGAGCAACGCCGCGUGAGUGAAGAAGGUUUUCGGAUCGUAAAACUCUGUUGUUAGAGAAGAACAAGGAUGAGAGUAACUGUUCAUCCCUUGACGGUAUCUAACCAGAAAGCCACGGCUAACUACGUGCCAGCAGCCGCGGUAAUACGUAGGUGGCAAGCGUUGUCCGGAUUUAUUGGGCGUAAAGCGAGCGCAGGCGGUUUCUUAAGUCUGAUGUGAAAGCCCCCGGCUCAACCGGGGAGGGUCAUUGGAAACUGGGAGACUUGAGUGCAGAAGAGGAGAGUGGAAUUCCAUGUGUAGCGGUGAAAUGCGUAGAUAUAUGGAGGAACACCAGUGGCGAAGGCGGCUCUCUGGUCUGU